AUUGAACGCUGGCGGCAGGCCUAACACAUGCAAGUCGAACGAGUGGCGGACGGGUGAGUAAUGUCUGGGAACCUGGCUCAUGUAGGGGGAUAACUACGGGAAACGGUAGCUAAUACCGCAUACCAUCCGAUGUGCUCAGGUGGUAUUAGGUGGUUGGUGGGGUAAAGGCUCACCAAGGCGACCAUCCCUAGCUGGUCUGAGAGGAUGAUCAGCCACACUGGGACUGAGACACGGUCCAGACUCCUACGGGAGGCAGCAGGUGGGAAUAUGUCGCAAUGGGCGAAAGCCUGAUGAAGCAAUGCCGCGUGAAUGAAGAAGGUCUUCGGGUUGUAAAGUACUUUCGGCGGGGAGGCGUUACCCACAGAAGAAGCCCCGGCUAACUCCGUGCCAGCAGCCGCGGUAAUUC
rnacentral:rRNA from 1 species